rnacentral:rRNA from 1 species
UACAGAGGUCUCAAGCGUUGUUCGGAUUCAUUGGGCGUAAAGGGCGCGUAGGCUGCGGGGCAAGUCGGGUGUGAAAUCUCAGAGCUCAACUCUGAAACUGCACUCGAUACUGCUUUGCUUGAGGACUGGAGAGGAGACUGGAAUUACGGUGUAGCGGUGAAAUGCGUAGAUAUCGUGAAGGAAGACCAGUGGCGAAGGCGGAUCUCUGGACAGUUCCUGACGCUGAGGCACGAAGGCCAGGGGAGCAAACGGG